rnacentral:rRNA from 1 species
CCUACGGGUGGCAGCAGUGCGGAAUAUUGGUCAAUGGUCGGGAGCCUGAACCAGCCAAGCCGCGUGAGGGAGGAAGGUACAGCGUAUCGUAAACCUCUUUUGUCAGGGAACAAAGGCGGGGACGUGUCCCCGGAUGAGUGUACCUGAAGAAAAAGCAUCGGCUAACUCCGUGCCAGCAGCCGCGGUAAUACGGAGGAUGCGAGCGUUAUCCGGAUGUAUUGGGUUAAAAGGGUGCGCAGGCGGUCUGUUAAGUCAGCGGUAAAAGCCCGGGGCGCAACCCCGGCCCGCCGUUGAAACUGGCAGGCUCGAGUUGGAGAGAGGUAUGCGGAAUGCGCGGUGUAGCGGUGAAAUGCAUAGAUAUCGCGCAGAACUCCGAUUGCGAAGGCAGCAUGCCGGCUCCACACUGACGCUGAGGCACGAAAGCGUGGGUAUCGAACAGGAUUAGAUACCCGAGUAGUC